rnacentral:rRNA from 1 species
UUGAACGCUGGCGGAAUGCUUUACACAUGCAAGUCGAGCGGCAGCGCGGGGGCAACCCUGGCGGCGAGCGGCGGACGGGUGAGUAAUGCAUCGGAACGUACCUAGUCGUGGGGGAUAACUAUCCGAAAGGAUAGCUAAUACCGCAUACGUCCUGAGGGAGAAAGCAGGGGAUCGCAAGACCUUGCGCGAUUAGAGCGGCCGAUGUCGGAUUAGCUAGUUGGUGGGGUAAAGGCCUACCAAGGCAACGAUCCGUAGCUGGUCUGAGAGGAUGAUCAGCCACACUGGGACUGAGACACGGCCCAGACUCCUACGGGAGGCAGCAGUGGGGAAUUUUGGACAAUGGGCGCAAGCCUGAUCCAGCAAUGCCGCGUGCAGGAUGAAGGCCUUCGGGUUGUAAACUGCUUUUGUACGGAACGAAACGGUCUUUUCUAAUACAAGAGACUAAUGACGGUACCGUAAGAAUAAGCACCGGCUAACUACGU